AGAGAGAGAGAGAUGAUGUAAGGUCUAGUCUUAUCUGAGAAGUUUGAACAGUUGUGACUGAUAUUUGAUGUAGCUACCUCAUUUGAAUAAGCACCAUACAGAAACGUCCGGUCUGCUCUGGUCUGACAGGCUCAAAGAGGACUGUGUCUCAGAGUUAGGAAACUCCACUCCCGUUUGUCUCCAGUUCCACAUCCCCGGUUGGUUAACUAUUGAGGUUCCUUGGGUCUCCACCGAACUAGGAUGCAGGCUGUACGUGUGAAGUACAGGGAUUGUCAGAAGUAUGAGGGGCAACUGACCUUCAAAUCCUUUUUUGGAUUGUGUUUUGGAGGUCACACAAUACAUUUGACAUUCCAACCUUGGACUUAAAGGUCUAUGAUGAAUCGAAGACUGAAGUUAAUGUUUGAGUUUCUUCUAAAGAAACAAGGCCUUGGUGUGCUGGAGAUUUGUUUACCCCAAGACCCAAAUC